rnacentral:rRNA from 1 species
AACGAACGCUGGCGGCAGGCUUAACACAUGCAAGUCGAGCGCCUCGCAAGAGGAGCGGCAGACGGGUGAGUAACACGUGGGAAUCUACCCAUCCUUACGGAACAACUCCGGGAAACUGGAGCUAAUACCGUAUACCGCCUUCGGGGGAAAGAUUUAUCGAGGAUGGAUGAGCCCGCGUUGGAUUAGCUAGUUGGUGGGGUAAAGGCCUACCAAGGCGACGAUCCAUAGCUGGUCUGAGAGGAUGAUCAGCCACAUUGGGACUGAGACACGGCCCAAACUCCUACGGGAGGCAGCAGUGGGGAAUAUUGGACAAUGGGCGCAAGCCUGAUCCAGCCAUGCCGCGUGAGUGAUGAAGGCCCUAGGGUUGUAAAGCUCUUUCACCGGAGAAGAUAAUGACGGUAUCCGGAGGAGAAGCCCCGGCUAACUUCGUGC